GCAUCGGUGGUUCAGUGUGGUAGAAUGCUCGCUCGUUACGCGGGCGGCCUGUGUUCGAUUCCCGGCCGAUGCA